UGGCGAUGACAUAGAGGCCAUGCAUGUUUGGGUAUUAUAAUAUUUUAUCUUUUAUUUUAUCAUUCUAGUAUCCCCAUAUCCUCUCAUUGUCAUCAUAAUACAUAAUGAUUAUAUCUUAUGAUAUAUAAAAUAAUACUUUUACGCUAUAAUACAUUGUUACUCGUAUUUUUUAAACUGCAAGGUGAUUGCCAUCAUGGCUUUAAACAUAGAAGCAGUGACUGAUCGGGAGGCCACAGAACAAGAGGUGGACGCUGAGCGCCAGCAACUAUACUCCAGGGCAAUGUCCCACCGGUGGAGAAAGGUUAUCGCUGUGGUGGUAUUCAUUGUUAUUUCCAUCGUAGUUACAGCUAUAGUGUAUUUUCGCACGAUGACUCCUCGGCAGUGAGAACCUAAUAUGAUGCUACGACUCCCAACCUGUGUUUUGGGCGCAUAAAUCAGAAAGUGCUCUCCGUUUUCUGCCACAUUUGCUUUGGAUUCAUUUUAUUUUUUUUCCAUUUCACCACCAAUCUCAAGCUUCUCUGACGAUAAGGGGUAUAUAC